rnacentral:rRNA from 1 species
CCUACGGGAGGCUGCAGUGAGGAAUAUUGGUCAAUGGGCGUAAGCCUGAACCAGCCAAGUCGCGUGAGGGAUGAAGGUUCUAUGGAUCGUAAACCUCUUUUAUAGGGGAAUAAAGGUAUCCACGUGUGGAUAUUUGCAUGUACCCUAUGAAUAAGCAUCGGCUAACUCCGUGCCAGCAGCCGCGGUAAUACGGAGGAUGCGAGCGUUAUCCGGAUUUAUUGGGUUUAAAGGGUGCGCAGGCGGUCUGUUAAGUCAGCGGUCAAAGCCCGGGGCUCAACCCCGGCCCGCCGUUGAAACUGGCAGUCUCGAGUUGGAGAGAAGUAUGCGGAAUGCGCGGUGUAGCGGUGAAAUGCAUAGAUAUCGCGCAGAACUCCGAUUGCGAAGGCAGCAUGCCGGCUCCACACUGACGCUGAGGCACGAAAGCGUGGGUAUCGAACAGGAUUAGAUACCCCUGUAGUC